UUCCCCCUUUACCUUCUCGAUCCUUAAGCAUUUUCGUCCAACCCCUAAACCUGCCGCCCUUCUCGAUCUCUUCACCUACUUCAAGUUUUUUUCUCCUUUCCUCUCCAAGCCCUAAACUUGCCGCCCCUUCUCCUUUCCUCUCCAAGCCCUAAACCCAUCGCCCCUUCACAACUCGUAGCGAACUAGUCACGGGGAGGGAGAGAGAUGGGCAACAGAGGCCACAAGGUUGGAAAACCUUACCAUGAUGAUUUUAGCAAAGCCGAUUCUAAUCUUUCCAUCCUCGCGCAAUUCCCUCUCGGUUCUUGCAUACUCGAUCUUCUUCCAUAUCACAACUUUUCCCUUUAUUUACCGGAAGAGGAGGUGGCCCUCUCCUAUUUGUCCAUCGAUGAGGCGACGAGAGCCCUAUUUCCUCGCCUUUCCUUUCUCUUUAAGGUUUGGUUUCCAUCCUUGUAUAUAUUUGGUUUCCACACUCCAAAGGCAUCUCCAUCUCGCCGCCGCUGCAUCCAUUACUAUAAUUUUGGGUCAUGUAGUCCUUGCUUUAAUUCUGUGGAGUCAUGCUAGUUCUCUCGAUCUCACGAGCAAAGUUGCAAUAACAUCUUUCUACAUGUUUAUUUGGAAGCUCUUCUAUGCAGAAUACUUGCUCAUUCCACCAGUGAGAUGAUUCCUGCAAACAAGUUGAAAGUGUAGAAGGAAGCUACUCCAAUCUUCAAGAUGGAUUAUCAACAUAUGAAAGUGUAGAUGGAAUCUACAGAUGGUUUCGACCAGAACCUGCAGCCAGAUUGUAAAUGUGGCUCCUGUUGAUUGGCUGCUCCAUGGACAGCAUGCAGUGGAGCUUUACCGUGAACAGGGACGCAGGAUAUCCAUAUCGCAUGACAAAUUGUUGCUGGGAGCUGCAAGAGAAGCCAUUAGAGCAUAGUGGAAUAUUAUAUUCCUGAGGAAAAACACUCCAGAUAAUUUAAGCUGCCUCAAAUGCAGAGUCCGUUGAAAGUCAUUUACGUGGCAUGCCAGCAAUUGCAUUGGAGGGUGGUGUCAUGAUAUUGGUUGAGAACAAGUGACAAACAAGCCUCUUUUAAAGACAGUCUUCCAGGUGAUGUUGAGAUUGUUUAGUCCUCAUAAGACCACUCUACUAUUUGUUAUACGAGAUAAAACAAGGGUGAGCAUUUUCAUAUGUGCAUUUUUAAACUUCUGUAUUGGAGACUCCUAAUCCAAUGAAAAUGAGUAUUCAUGUGCAUUUUUUAUAUGUCGAGAUCUCCUGGUGCCUUAUCAAAGGGAUGAAAAGAUUGGACUUUUUGAUGGAGCUGGUGUGGGAAGACUGGAUUUAUUAUGGAAUUGAUGAUCAACAAUGUUAGAAAAGGUUGACAUGGAAGAAUCAGCAAGUGAGAAAGAGGAGUCCAAUGACAUUCUACAAGUUGAAGAUUGUGAUGGGGCAUGGGUUGACAAUAAUUACUUGCAAUCCUACAUGUCAUGCACCACCAUCACAAGUUUCUAGUCUUUUGACUAUUGUUCAUUAGUUGUAAAUGAAGUUUAUUUAUUUAUUUGUAUUGAGAUAAAUUUUAUUUGAAUAUUAGACAUGUUUCUUCUU